rnacentral:rRNA from 1 species
CAGCAGCCACGGGAACACGUAGGGGGCAAGCGUUGUCCGGAAUUACUGGGCGUAAAGCGCGCGCAGGCGGUUUUUUAAGUCUGGUGUCUAAGUGCGGGGCUCAACCCCGUGACGCACUGGAAACUGGGAGACUUGAGUGCAGAAGAGGAGAGCGGAAUUCCACGUGUAGCGGUAAAAUGCGUAGAGAUGUGGAGGAACACCAGUGGCGAAGGCGGCUCCCUGGACUGUAACUGACGCUGAGGCGCGAAAGCGUGGGGAACAAACUGGAUUAGAUACCCCCGUAGUCCCUGUCUCUUAUACC